ACGCUCAGAACCAGGGCGGCGUCGGAGACGUUGGUCCAGGAGAUGCGGGCCCCGAGGAAGGAGUCUCGCAUGCUGCGGCCGGCAUCCAGCCGGAGGGACAGGUGGUCGCCGCCGGCGAGCUUCUUGGGGCCGGCAGCGGCGGAGAAGAUGUUGGCGUAGUCGGAGUCCUCGAGGGAGGGGAGGGAGGAGACGUACGACACCGCCUUCCGGUAGAGAGGGUUCUCCUGCAGGUUCUCGUUGUACCGGGGGAUCUUGUAGUGCUGGUACGAAUGGAGCCGGUCCUCCAGCUCCCGCCACCGCCGCAC
rnacentral:lncRNA from 1 species